UACGUAGGCAGCAAGCGUUGUUCGGAAUUACUGGGCGUAAAGAGUACGUAGGUGGUUUGCCAAGUCCGAUGUGAAAUCUCCUGGCUUAACUGGGAGGGUGCGUUAGAUACUGGCAGGCUUGAAUGUGGGAGAGGAGAGCGGAAUUCCUGGUGUAGCGGUGAAAUGCGUAGAUAUCAGGAGGAACGCCUGUGGUGUAGACGGCUCUCUGGACCAUUAUUGACACUGAGGUACGAAAGCGUGGGUAGCAAAC
rnacentral:rRNA from 1 species